rnacentral:lncRNA from 1 species
AACACUUGGCAGUGGUAGAGCGCCAGCACGUACUGCAGCGCCAGGUCCAGCGCCCCUGGCGCCACCGCGACCCCCGCCCCGCCGCCCAGGCUGAGUAGUAGCGCCUGGCCCGCUAGGGUCUGCAGCCCCACGUGGGCCGAGGGGUAGAGGAGGAAAUUGAAGACGAAGGCGUUGGGACAGCGCCGCUGCUGCAGGAUGGUGUUUCCCUUCCUGUUUGCUGAUCCACUGGGGCUGUCCCAGAAAGAGAACUACAACGCUACUCUUUCCCAUGCCUUGCUUGUCCACAGGUAAAUUUUCCUGGAUUAUGGCUAGCCAAAAACAAAUUCUGAAAAUAUAAAGAAUAGAUUGUAAUUGACAAACCCUUUGUUUUCAGGUUAUUCAUGUCAGGUUUCAGCAAUAACACAAAGCUCUCUUUGUCCUUGAAAAACAGAAAGAACCUCUUAACUUAUCAAGUAUUUAAAUCUUCUCAAAUAUGGUGGGGAGUCUAAUGCAUGAAUCCUGGCCUGGUACAUGGAAAGUGCUGUGAAAAAACUCAUUCUCAAGCCCCAUAUGCUGCUAAAUUUGCAACCACAAAUAGUUCUUAGGUAAAAGAUUGAGAGGCAUUAAAGAAUCUGCAAAGAUUUACAGUGGGAAUAAUUCAGGGGUUUGGGAUGUUAAGACUGAAAGAAAGGCAUAAGGACUCAGGGUUAUAUUUAGCCUGCAAAAGGGAAGUUGCCAGAGAACUUUAAUAAUGUUUCUAGGUCAUAAAAUAAACAUGAAAACGAUUGUGCCUUAUUGGCCUUUAUCUGCGGAUAAGGGAAAAUGAGUACGUAAAACAUGAGGAAGAAUUUAGGGUGGAAACAAAAUAACACUUUGAUUGAAUAUGUUCCUCAUUUAAAAAUAAAAGUGCACUUUUUUCUACAUGUAUUAUACUUCAAUAAAAAGUUAAAAGACAAAUUUUCAUACGUGUGGGGUUGCUUUGGAAUGGUCAGAGAGCUAGAUAGUUUCCUAAAGUUUGGUGAUCAUGAGUGUGGCCUCCGCCCUCAGAUUUUUUUGACUAAAUGCUAGCCACACUGCUUUCUGUUUGUAUGACCUUGGGCGAACCUCUAUCCUAGCUUCUUCUUGCCUCGUUUCUAAAGUGAGAUAAUGAGAGUAUUCAUCAACUAGUAUUGUUAUGGGGAUUAGAUAACAUAUGUGUCAUAGUUAUAAUUUGUUUUUCUUUUAAAAGGCAGAACAUUCAAAUAUUAGUGGUCUGAAGAGACAAAUUAUUUUUCUCUCAUGAAUAAUUUCUAGUACAUGUCUUGGACUGGCAUGGCGCCACUCAGUUUCUGGUAUCCAGAUUCUAUCUCAU